UGUAGUCUGNAACCCGACUACAUGAAGCUGGAAUCGCUAGUAAUCGCGAAUCAGAAUGUCGCGGUGAAUACGUUCCCGGGUCUUGUACACACCGCCCGUCACACCAUGGGGGCCGGAAAUGCCCGAAGCCAGUGACCCAACCUUAGGGAGGGAGCUGUCGAAGGUGGAGCCGGUAACUGGGGUGAAGUCGUAACAAGGUAAC
rnacentral:rRNA from 1 species